CCUACGGGUGGCAGCAGUGAGGAAUAUUGGUCAAUGGCCGAGAGGCUGAACCAGCCAAGUCGCGUGAGGGAAGACGGCCCUACGGGUUGUAAAGAUCUGUUGACAGGGACGAAUAAGCAAUGCGAAUAGUUUUGUGUAUGACGGUACCUGUUUAGAAAGCUCCGGCUAACUACGUGCCAGCAGCCGCGGUAAUACGUAGGGAGCAAGCGUUGUCCGGAAUUACUGGGCGUAAGGGGCGCGUAGGUGGGCGCUUAAGUCAGGUGUGAAAACUCCGGGCUCAACCUGGAGACUGCACUUGAAACUGGGUGUCUUGAGGGCAGGAGAGGAAAGUGGAAUUCCUAGUGUAGCGGUGAAAUGCGUAGAUAUUAGGAGGAACACCAGUGGCGAAGGCGACUUUCUGGACUGUACCUGACGCUGAGGCGCGAAAGCGUGGGUAGCGAACGGGAUUAGAUACCCUUGUAGUC
rnacentral:rRNA from 1 species